rnacentral:rRNA from 1 species
AUUGAACGCUGGCGGCAGGCCUAACACAUGCAAGUCGAGCGAGCGGCGGACGGGUGAGUAAUGUCUGGGAAACUGCCUGAUGGAGGGGGAUAACUACUGGAAACGGUAGCUAAUACCGCAUACCAUCAGAUGUGCCCAGAUGUGGGUGGCUAGUAGGUGGGGUAACGGCUCACCUAGCCGACGAUCCCUAGCUGGUCUGAGAGGAUGACCAGCCACACUGGAACAUAGGGACGGUCCAUCGUCCUACGGGAGGCAGCAGUGGGGAAUAUGGCACAAUGGGCGCAAGGCUGAUGCAGCCAUGCCGCGUGUGUGAAGAAGGCCUUAGGGUUGUAGAGCACUUUCAGCGGGGAGGCGUUACCCGCAGAAGAAGCACCGGCUAACUCCGUGCCAGCCGCCGCGGUAAUAC